rnacentral:ncRNA from 1 species
AAUCCUGUCGGGUAAGGUCUAACCAACCGCCCGUACCGAGUCUUUGGAGUCGAAGCGGUAACGUCAGAUUUAAGUGUAGGGCAGGGAGCAACAGAGCCGAAACGAAAGUGAAGUAAUUGAGCUGGGAAAUUAUUAUGAGGCCGGAAAUGGUCGAUACGUUUUUUCUCGUAGCAGACAACACUCCUGUAACCGAUAUGGUAAGGAUACAGGGACGUCCCCCAGUCUGAGAGC